rnacentral:rRNA from 1 species
GACGAACGCUGGCGGCGUGCUUAACACAUGCAAGUCGAACGGAAAGGCCCUGCUUUUGUGGGGUGCUCGAGUGGCGAACGGGUGAGUAACACGUGAGUAACCUGCCCUUGACUUUGGGAUAACUUCAGGAAACUGGGGCUAAUACCGGAUAGGAGCUCCUGCUGCAUGGUGGGGGUUGGAAAGUUUCGGCGGUUGGGGAUGGACUCGCGGCUUAUCAGCUUGUUGGUGGGGUAGUGGCUUACCAAGGCUUUGACGGGUAGCCGGCCUGAGAGGGUGACCGGCCACAUUGGGACUGAGAUACGGCCCAGACUCCUACGGGAGACAGCAGUGGGGAAUAUUGCACAAUGGGCGGAAGCCUGAUGCAGCAACGCCGCGUGCGGGAUGACGGCCUUCGGGUUGUAAACCGCUUUCGCCUGUGACGAAGCGUGAGUGUCGGUAAUGGGUAAAGAAGCACCGGCUAACUACGUG